CCCUGCCAUUUGUACACACCGCCCGUCGCACCUACCGAUUGAAUGGUCCGGUGAAGCCUCGGGAUUGUGGCGAGUUUCCUUCAUUGGGAAUUUGUCGCGAGAACUUGUCUAAACCUUAUCAUUUAGAGGAAGGUGAAGUCGUAACAAGGUUUC
rnacentral:rRNA from 1 species